UGGAAAUCAAUAAAAACUAUAUUUGUUUGUUUGUUUGUUUUUUGUUUGUUUAACAGUUCACAUAAUAAAAUUGUAGAUAAAACAGUGAAAAUUGUGUGUGUGUGUGUGUGUGUGUGUGUGUGUGGCUCACAGGAAUAUCUUUCCACCCCACCUUCAGCACUCAAUUCAA